GGGCAAUGAAGAUUGAAAUCGUUUCUCGAUUCUGAGUUGGUUGAUUAUUCGACCAUUGUUUUUUUUAUCCUGUUUUUCUUUGAUGACCUAUUUGUGCGUGUCUGAGCUCC